rnacentral:tRNA from 2 species
GCGGGCGUAGUUCAGUGGCAGAACUUCAGCUUCCCAAGCUGAUAGCGCGAGUUCGAUUCUCGUCGCCCGCU